GCCAGACUCCAGCGGCGGUGGCGGCAGUAGAGCGGCGACCGACGCUCCAGGCAGACGCAGGCGACGCAGGGUGUUUCGUGGAUUUCAUGUGGCAUCUUCCAUGAUUACAAAAUUGGCGUAAGGCAAUAACUGCUGAAGAUUGAAGUUGUUCUACGCACGCAGGAAACCUCAAGACGCCAACACCCUCACGUUUACUGAUUCGAGCCAGCUCCACGCAAGUCUAGAGUGAUCGGACUUGAGCACACCGGCAUCCAACUUCAGCUGCAGUGGAGGAGAAGAUUAGCUGUAGCGACUGGUAAACAGCUUUCGCAACGACACGGCGAAGCCAGCCGAGAGACUAUACCGAGCUAGGCCGCACUGGUCUAAACACCCCACGGCUCCGAUAAAGG